GGUGCUUGCACCUUAUCUUAGCGGCGGACGGGUGAGUAAUGCUUAGGAAUCUGCCUAUUAGUGGGGGACAACAUUCCGAAAGGAAUGCUAAUACCGCAUACGUCCUACGGGAGAAAGCAGGGGAUCUUCGGACCUUGCGCUAAUAGAUGAGCCUAAGUCGGAUUAGCUAGUUGGUGGGGUAAAGGCCUACCAAGGCGACGAUCUGUAGCGGGUCUGAGAGGAUGAUCCGCCACACUGGGACUGAGACACGGCCCAGACUCCUACGGGAGGCAGCAGUGGGGAAUAUUGGACAAUGGGGGGAACCCUGAUCCAGCCAUGCCGCGUGUGUGAAGAAGGCCUUAUGGUUGUAAAGCACUUUAAGCGAGGAGGAGGCUACUGAGACUAAUACUCUUGGAUAGUGGACGUUACUCGCAGAAUAAGCACCGGCUAACUCUGUGCCAGCAGCCGCGGUAAUACAGAGGGUGCGAGCGUUAAUCGGAUUUACUGGGCGUAAAGCGUGCGUAGGCGGCUUUUUAAGUCGGAUGUGAAAUCCCCGAGCUUAACUUGGGAAUUGCAUUCGAUACUGGGAAGCUAGAGUAUGGGAGAGGAUGGUAGAAUUCCAGGUGUAGCGGUGAAAUGCGUAGAGAUCUGGAGGAAUACCGAUGGCGAAGGCAGCCAUCUGGCCUAAUACUGACGCUGAGGUACGAAAGCAUGGGGAGCAAACAGGAUUAGAUACCCUGGUAGUCCAUGCCGUAAACGAUGUCUACUAGCCGUUGGGGCCUUUGAGGCUUUAGUGGCGCAGCUAACGCGAUAAGUAGACCGCCUGGGGAGUACGGUCGCAAGACU
rnacentral:rRNA from 1 species